UGCACGCGUGAUUCUAUGUUGCUUUGGAUAAAAGCAUCUGUUAAAUGGCAUAUA
rfam:Salmo salar isolate Sally breed double haploid chromosome ssa14, whole genome shotgun sequence.